AAAUCUCUGUGACAGUAGCAUAUGGCAGAAGAACGUGGUGGGCGUCAUGCUGUGAGCAGCCCAAUGGAGAGACCCAUGUGGUAAGGAAUGAAAGUCCCUUGGAAGCAGACCCUCCCACCCCAGUCAAGCCUGACGUGUGAGAUCCUGAACCAGCACCAUCAAGCUAAAUCAAUCCCAGACUCCUAACCCUCAGAAACUGUGUGAGAUAAUAAAUAAUGUGAGAUAAAACCUA
rnacentral:lncRNA from 1 species